GUUUACUUAUAAAAGUGGCAUGCUUUCUCACAAAGUGACCUAGACCGUACAUUAAUGUGAUGUAUAACUUGUCUUCAUGCUGCUUGUUUUCACAAUAUGACUUAUCCUGUCUAUGUCAAGAACACACUGCUGUAUCUCAUGUUCAUUCUAUGCCAUAAUAAAACAAAGAUUGACAAAAAUAUAUUUUUUAAAAAGACGCGGAGUCCGCCAGCUUCCAGGAAG